AAUCUUAGCUAACGUCGGGUAUAAGCACGAUCCACAAGGUGCUUGCCCCAGGCUGAGACCCUCCAUUGCACUUCGGAGGGGUGGACGCCUGCGAUUAUCCUUCGUGGAUAAGUCGGGCGUGGCAAUUUUUUCCAUUGGGGCAUGCCCUUCCUCUUCCGCAUGCCCCUA
rfam:Folsomia candida strain VT population Fcan01_Sc001, whole genome shotgun sequence.